CGGACGCUCACUUCUCUCAGGUACAGACCUGGGCGUGGUGGGGUCAUGGGAUCGGGUGGCGGCUCUGUGGCCCCUUCUGCCCCCUCCUGCCUCUGUGAUCACACUCCCCUGCCCAGCCCCAGGAAGGCCGGAGGAGCCACUGAGGUCCUACGGGGACCCUGGGACGGCAUAGGAAGGGCACCCGUGGCGUGGAGCUCGUGGCCUCCUCCGGGCCGGCUCGAAGCUCAGCCCCAGGAGGCUCUCUCGGGACGUCACACGGCCUGUGGGCCGUCGCCUUUCUGCAGACUUGGAGCCGGGAGUCGAAGGGACCCCCCAGGAUGCUGUCCCAGACCCGGCCCUGGAGCCCCUUGGAGAUGCAGGUGUUCCGGAUCCUUGGGGUCCAGGCCAGUCCUGGGCAAGCCCCCAUCCUUUCCAGUGUCCUCGGGCCGUAAUGGUAAUGAUCAGACGCCCCAAGCUGAACCUUAGGGUUCCCCUUUGACCUCCGCUGUGCCAGGAGUGGACUGGGGUCCAGAGAGGCAAGCGCCCCCCGAGGCCAUCUGGCACAACGGCAGAGCUGGCCUUAGAGUCCAGGCCCCCCUGAGGCCUCCACGUGGCCGGCACCCGCUCGCUGCCGCCCAAGCGCGUUCUAGGAGCAGAGUGCUCCCUGGUGAGCAGGCGCCCCGUGCCUGGGUUCCCGGUGUCCUUGACCCCCUGCAUGUUCUCCACCAGCACCCACCACUGUUCCGGGGUCACUCGCCCCCGGGCGUGACCUUGGGAAGGUGGCCCGGUGUCCUUCCCCGGGAAGGGAGGGGAUUGGAGUCAGGCCUCCCUCCAGCCCGGCGACCGUGGUGGCAGCUUGU
rnacentral:lncRNA from 1 species